GAUGAACGCUAGCGGCAGGCUUAACACAUGCAAGUCGAGGGGCAGCGCGGGAGUAGCAAUACUUCUGGCGGCGACCGGCGGAAGGGUGCGUAACGCGUGAGCAACAUUCCCGCAUCUGGGGGAUAAGCACUGGAAACGGUGUCUAAUACCCCAUAACAACGGAUUCCACAUGGAGACCGUUUGAAAGCUGCGACGGAUGCGGAUUGGCUCGCGUGACAUUAGCUAGUCGGCGGGGUAACGGCCCACCGAGGCGACGAUGUCUAGGGGUUCUGAGAGGAAGGUCCCCCACACUGGAACUGAGACACGGUCCAGACUCCUACGGGAGGCAGCAGUGAGGAAUAUUGGUCAAUGGGCGGAAGCCUGAACCAGCCAUGCCGCGUGAAGGAAUAAGGCCCUAUGGGUCGUAAACUUCUUUUGUGGUGGAGCAAUAAGGGCUACGCGUAGUCCGAUGAGAGUACAUCACGAAUAAGCAUCGGCUAACUCCGUGCCAGCAGCCGCGGUAAUACGGAGGAUGCAAGCGUUAUCCGGAUUUAUUGGGUUUAAAGGGUGCGUAGGCUGUGCCGCAAGUCGGGGGUGAAAGCCCGGGGCCCAACCCCGGAACUGCCCUUGAUACUGCGGCGCUGGAGUUCGGAUGCCGUGGGAGGAAUGAGUAGUGUAGCGGUGAAAUGCAUAGAUAUUACUCAGAACACCGAUUGCGAAGGCAUCUCACGAAUCCGACACUGACGCUGAGGCACGAAAGCGUGGGGAUCAAACAGGAUUAGAUACCCUGGUAGUCCACGCAGUAAACGAUGUUGACUAACUGUCGGCGAUAAACAGUCGGUGGCCAAGCGAAGGCGAUAAGUCAUCCACCUCUGGGAGUACGUUCGCAAGAUGAAACUCAAGGAAUUGACGGGGGCCGCACAGCGGAGAACAUGGUGGUUAUUCGAUGAUCGCGAGACCUUACCCGGGCUCGA
rnacentral:rRNA from 1 species